GAUGAACGCUAGCGACAGGCCUAACACAUGCAAGUCGAGGGGCAGCACGGGAGUAGCAAUACAACUGGUGGCGACCGGCGCACGGGUGAGUAACACGUAUGCAACCUACCUGUAAGAGGGGAAUAACCCGGAGAAAUUCGGACUAAUACCGCAUAAUACCGCGAAGCUGCAUGGCUUUGUGGUUAAAUAUUUAUAGCUUACAGAUGGGCAUGCGUAUGAUUAGCUAGUUGGUGAGGUAACGGCUCACCAAGGCAACGAUCAUUAGGGGUUCUGAGAGGAAGGUCCCCCACAUUGGAACUGAGACACGGUCCAAACUCCUACGGGAGGCAGCAGUGAGGAAUAUUGGUCAAUGGACGAGAGUCUGAACCAGCCAAGUCGCGUGAAG
rnacentral:rRNA from 1 species